GAAAACCUUACGAGGAUAAGACAAACGGAGGAUUGACAGAUUGAUCGCUCUUUCUUGAUUGUUUGGGUGGUGGUGCAUGGCCGUUCUUAGUUCGUGGAUUAAUUUGUCUGGUUAAUUCCGUUAACGAACGAGACCUUAACUUGCUAAUUGGGGUUAGUGAUUCAUUCGCUUGCCCUGUUAGAAGGACCAUGUGUGUCUAACACAAGGAAGCGUGAGGCAAUAA
rnacentral:rRNA from 1 species